rnacentral:tRNA from 1 species
GGGCGGUUAGUAUAGUGGUUAAGACUCUCGCUCCCCAUGCGAGCGACCCGGGUUCAAAUCCUGGACUGCGCA